AAAAAGCAGGAGAAGGGUUCACAAUAAUUAAACUACCUCUCCAAACAAAGAGAAAAGAUGUACUGCCAUUAAGCUGCCUACCUAACGAGGAAGCUGUGUUGAAGAUGAUGAAAGGAACGUGUCUGAACAUGCAGGAUCUUCAGGAGAAUCCAUCCUCAACAUACAGGAUUCUGAAGACUAUCCACCUUCAAGAUCACCAUCAUUUUGUAUAGUUUCAGAGUUAUCUGCCAAUGAUAGUCUUUCAGUCACAUCAUGUAUGUCACAUAGCCACAGUAUAUCACCUAUAGCAAAAAGAAAAAAAAUCUCCAUCAUCCAGAAACAACCAGAGAUAAAUUUGUGAUAAGAACCAGCAGAUUACAAAAAGGUAAUUGAUGAAAAAAAUUGCCCAGUUUAUGCAACGAACUCUCCUUUCCAUAUGACUGAGAACCCACACUUCAUUAACAUGGUUCAGUCAUUAAGACCAAGAUACAGUCCACCUAACAGAGCAGCUGUCGCAGGCAAAUUGCUGGAUAACAUGUAUGAAAGAGAAACUAAACUGUGUGCAAAAGGUCUACAUGGUGAAAUUGUUAACCUGAGUCUUGAUGGGUGGAGCAAGGGCCACAAUGCUCCUGUUGUAUGUGCUUGUGUGACAACAGAAGAAGGGAAUGUCUUCCUUACAGAAAGAAUUGAUACACCAGGAAAUGCACACACAGCAGAACACUUACAAGAAGUAGCAGUAAAAGCUAUAACAAACGGUGAAAAAAAUUUCAAACGUCUAAAACACCGCUUGGUCACAGACAAUGCUGCAAAUGUUCCAAGACGAGAAGAAAUUUAGAAGAGAGUCCCAAGCUAAUAACAUAUGGUUUCAGUUAUCAUCUGAUGCACCUCCUAGUCAAAGACUUCAGUGUUCCAGAAAUAAAGGCUAAUGCUGUUGAAAUUGCAAAAUACUUCCGUAACCACCACUUUGCAGCAGCUGCUCUGAAAAAAGUGGGAGGAACAAAGCUAACACUCCCACAAGGCGUGCGAUGGAACUCAGUAGUGGACUGUUCUGAGCACUGUAUCAAGAACUGGCCUAAUUGGAUGACAGUUUGUGAACAAAAUUGUGAAAAAAUAGAUGGCACUGUCACAGCCAAAGUUCUCAGCACUGGGCUUAAGAGAAAUGUUGAACACAUGCUGAGUACCCUGAAGCCUAUUUCCGUAGCCUUGAACAAAAUGCAGGGAAAUAGCUGUUUUAUUGCUGACACUGUUGAAAUUAGGAAGGAACUGAGUGAGAUCUUAAAAAGAGAAAUAUGCAAUGACAGAGUUCAAUUACAAGCAUUAAAAAAACAAAUGGGACAAGCACUGUCUCCAGCUCAUUUUCUUGCAAAUAUUCUCAAUACUCGGUACCAGGGUCAAACCUUAACUGCUGAAGAAGAGAAGUUGGUUACGACAUGGACAUCCAGCAAUCAU